CUUUGCAGACAUUUCACAUCUUUUUGUCCGACUGAGUUGUAUAACUCUCUAAAACUGAUUCAACCACAGGAUAUACAGAACAACGGCGGAUCAAGGAUCUAUAGGAUAUUACUAUAUAGCAGCCAUGGAUUUAGCUUAAUAACAAGUACUUAUAUAUGCGUUAUUGUUUUCACCUGUGCAGUUUGUCCAUACUGUAAAAAACAAACAGAGAUGAGAAUUGUGAUGCUGGAAAUUGAAGAAAGAAAGGAGUCAGUGAUAUUCUAUUUCCAUCAAGAAAUCGUUCAACUCUAGUAUGUUUACAUAUACUGGUAACUGGUAUGAAUCAAGAUAUUGAUAUCCAGAGAUAAGAACUGAAGUUUGAUUUAUUUAACAUCCUGAUGAAUGUUGUGUUAUCCUAUAGUCAGUUACUUUUGCUACUAAAACAAGUGCCUGCAAGCUGCCUUUCUGUCCAAACCUAAUGAGGGUAUUAUCUACAAACUUCAGCAGGAGGUGAGAUCUGUGCAAUUAUUGUCAGCAAGCAAUUGCGCACUCCAUCAAAAUGAUCAAUAUCUACUACAUACUAAUAUUCUACGGCGCAUACUUUGCUGCAGAGACCGGAAGUUGGAUAGCUGCAAUUGAGUUUCCUAUUUGCUUCCGGUUAUACAUCAGCAGCAUCUGGAUAAUUUGCAGUAUGAUAAGGACCUUGAAAUCUGUCUUCAGAUGAAUCUAGCAGAUGGAAAUAAGAAAAACAAAAGGAUAGGCAUGCUAACAAAUUGGCAAUUGCUUAGCAUUAUGAUUUGAGGCUGAAGCUGUUUUGAACAUCUUCAUCCAGCAUGAAACUAAAAUAAAGACAUUACAGUUGAUACAGUUGAAACUUAUUGAGAAGAUGGUCUUAUGCUUUACAUGGUGCUAACAUAAAAGUUUCAUCUUCUUCUUCAUCAUAACGUGUGCUACAUAGCAAUGACAGAUCUUGAGAAGAAAUUAGAGACUGCUAAAUGUAACAUGGAUUAGAAGCAGUACUAAUCAUAUGUCAUAAUACGCUAGAUAUGUAACUACUUAUAUACACCAUAUAGAGAUACAUAUUAACUGCUUAAACA